rnacentral:rRNA from 1 species
CCUACGGGAGGCAGCAGUCGAGAAUCAUUCACAAUGGGGGAAACCCUGAUGGUGCGACGCCGCGUGGGGGAAUGAAGGUCUUCGGAUUGUAAACCCCUGUCAUGUGGGAGCAAAUUAAAAAGAUAGUACCACACGAGGAAGAGACGGCUAACUCUGUGCCAGCAGCCGCGGUAAUACAGAGGUCUCAAGCGGUGUUCGGAAUCACUGGGCGUAAAGCGUGCGUAGGCUGUUUCGUAAGUCGUGUGUGAAAGGCGCGGGCUCAACCCGCGGACGGCACAUGAUACUGCGAGACUAGAGUAAUGGAGGGGGAACCGGAAUUCUCGGUGUAGCAGUGAAAUGCGUAGAUAUCGAGAGGAACACUCGUGGCGAAGGCGGGUUCCUGGACAUUAACUGACGCUGAGGCACGAAGGCCAGGGGAGCGAAAGGGAUUAGAUACCCUUGUAGUC